UACGUAGGGGGCAAGCGUUAUCCGGAAUUACUGGGUGUAAAGGGAGCGUAGACGGUAAUGUAAGUCUGGAGUGAAAGGCGGGGGCCCAACCCCCGGACUGCUCUGGAAACUAUGUUACUAGAGUGCAGGAGAGGUAAGCGGAAUUCCUAGUGUAGCGGUGAAUUGCGUAGAUAUUAGGAGGAACACCAGAGGCGAAGGCGGCUUACUGGACUGUAACUGACGUUGAGGCUCGAAAGCGUGGGGAGCAAACAGG
rnacentral:rRNA from 1 species